rnacentral:misc_RNA from 1 species
UUUCAAUGCGGACGAUAUUUUGAAUAGCGUUCGGAUCUUAAAAACGCUAUUAUAGUUAGCGUCUCACACUCGCCUCGUUCAGCUCAGCAUAAUUCACUCAUUUUUAGUUAUUAUUUUCAAACUCAUCCUUUUUUUGUAUUAUUGUAUUUUUUAUUACACCUUUUUUGUCAUUUGCCCUCGGUAUCUCUCCUCUAGCAUCAG